AGGAGGGGGCAGUCCCACAGCAGGCUCACACCCUGCCCUUCAGAGUUGCAGCAGCCAAUGCUGAUGCCAGGACCUUGUCCUGCCAGGAAGCCUCUGAUUAGGGCCCUGAACCAACUUCCUUUUCACAACUGCAAGGACACUUGGAGGCAACCACCCAAGGCCGCUCUGAGAAGGGUUGAAUGUUCUUUAUUAAAAGGACUGAGGAUCAUGUGUGUUGGUGGGUCUUGGACUCUGCUCUAAGGUAAAUGUGUGUAUGUUGGGGGAGGGGGGGUGCCUGUAAUCCUGUGGGUGUGAUCUCUUUAUUAGAGGAUUUUUGUUCAUUAAAGUAGGAGUGUGAGUUUGUUUGUUUGCUUGUUUGUUUUUAAAGUAGUACUGGGUGCCAGGUCAUACAAUAUUUGGAACAUACUUGAACUAAAAACUUGUUAUAUAUAUGAACUUCCAAAUUCCCUGGGUAUUGUAUAUUUUAUAAUCAGCCCUACCUUCAGAAAGUGGUGAGAUCCACAGUGCACCUGGAUUCACAGAUAGAAAUAUAGGGGACAAAACAAGUACAGUAAUAUAAUUGUGAAAAUUCAGUGGGACAUGCACAGAUUACCACCACCUCUGUAAGAAGUAUAUAGAGACACAUGUUUGAAAUAUACAUAAUGAGAUGUAGAACACUGUCUCUCUCGGUUGUCGUGUUGUCCUAACUCAAAUUUUUCAGUUUCUGCUGUCAUCACAGCUGGGAAUGAGAAAGGGAAGAGGCUCUGGUUGGUCUCCCUCUGCCUCUGGAGCACAUGUGGAGGACAUGAGGCUUCCGCAGGAACAGCUCUGAAAGCUGAGUUCUCAGGGUCCUUGUGAAGGAGGGAAGCUUGCCUGCCUUGGAGCGUGAAAAAGUCUUGCUGGACUGAAGUCUCACGGUUUAAAAAUGGGAAGGGAGAGGACUGAGAUCACACUAGAAUGCACAGAAAAUUCUUAAAACAAAAAAUAAUGAGAGAAACUUCAUCAGAAUGUGAAAAGAACUAUAAAGCUACAGUGCUGAAGAGAGGGCAAUACUGGCAGUAGAAUAAGAAGAUUCAUGGAACACAGUGGAAAAUGCAGAAAGAGAGCCACAUACACAUGGAGGCAACCACUCAAGGCCACUCUGAGGAGGGUUGAACGUGCUUUAUUAAAAGGACUGAGGAUCAUGUGUGUUGGUGUGUCCUGGACUCUGCUUUAAGACACAUGGAGGCAACCACUCAAGGCCACUCUGAGGAGGGUUGAACGUGCUUUAUUAAAAGGACUGAGGAUCGUGUGUGUUGAUGUGUCCUGGACUCUGCUUUAAGACAUAUGGAGGCAACCACUCAAGGCCACUCUGAGGAGGGUUGAACGUGCUUUAUUAAAAGGACUGAGGAUCAUGUGUGUUGAUGUGUCCUGGACUCUGCUUUAAGACACAUGGAGGCAAUCACUCAAGGCCACUCUGAGAAGGGUUGAACGUGCUUUAUUAAAAGGACUGAGGAUCAUGUGUGUUGGUGUGUCCUGGACUCUGCUCUAAGGCCCUGUGGCCGCCUGGUGCCCUGGGAAUGGUCCGGUCAUGGGCCUCAGCCCAAGAUGAGCAGCCAACAAUGCAAUCCCACGAAGAGUGUGCGCAAGGGAGAGGUUACUUCUCAAGAUGGAGCUGCCAAAUAGGGACACUUUGGAGAGUUUGACCUGAGAACUUUUAGCUCCAAGAAUGUAUUGCUUUGGAAAAGACAGAAUAAAAGUCCAAGCACUGCCACUUAGAGGUUGUAUGUCCUUGGGAAAGUCACUGUACGUGGCAAUUAUAACCUUUACCCUGGAUACACCAUUCAUCUCCUGGGGCCGGGGAUUGUGCCAACUUGUUCAUUUCUAAACUAAAUGAUAUCUAAGCUAGUCUUUACCACAAUUUAAUUCUUAUAAUAAUACUCCAAAGGAGAGAUAAUCAACCACAUUUCACAGAUGAGAGAGUUGGAAUCUUAAAAAGGUUAAACUCUUCAAGGUCAUUUGACGAGUAAAUAAUGGAGCCUGGAUUUCAACUGAAGUCUAACAAAUUCCAAAAUCUUGGC